UACAGAGGGUGCGAGCGUUAAUCGGAAUUACUGGGCGUAAAGCGUGCGUAGACGGUUUCGUAAGUCGGGUGUGAAAUCCCCGGGCUUAACCUGGGAAUGGCGAUGGAGACUGCGAGGCUAGAGUUUGGCAGAGGGGGGUAGAAUUCCACGUGUAGCAGUGAAAUGCGUAGAGAUGUGGAGGAACACCGAUGGCGAAGGCAGCCCCCUGGGUCAAAACUGACGCUCAUGCACGAAAGCGUGGGGAGCAAACAGG
rnacentral:rRNA from 1 species